CGCGUAGGCUGCGGGGUAAGUCGGGUGUGAAAUCUCAGAGCUCAACUCUGAAACUGCACUCGAUACUGCUUUGCUUGAGGACUGGAGAGGAGAUUGGAAUUCACGGUGUAGCAGUGAAAUGCGUAGAUAUCGUGAGGAAGACCAGUGGCGAAGGCGGAUCUCCGGACAGUUCCUGACGCUGAGGCGCGAAGGCCAGGGGAGCAAACG
rnacentral:rRNA from 1 species